CCGCUGGCGGACCGGGAAGUCGCUGAAGACAGAGCGAUGGCAGUUCUGGAGGCCUCGCUCUGGGACCGACCCGAGGCCACAGUGCCCCCGCGGUAGACCGGACUUGGGUGACGGGCUCCGGGCUCCCGAGGGAUGGAAGGGUCUAAGACGUCCAACAACAGCACCAUGCAGGUGAGCUUCGUGUGCCAGCGCUGCAGCCAGCCCCUGAAACUGGACACGAGUUUCAAGAUCCUGGACCGUGUCACCAUCCAGGAACUCACAGCUCCAUUACUUACCACAGCCCAGGCGAAACCAGGAGAGACCCAGGAGGAAGAGACUAACUCAGGAGAGGAGCCAUUUAUCGAAACUCCUCGCCAGGAUGAUGUCUCUCGCAGAUUCAUCCCCCCAGCCAGGAUGAUGUCCACAGAAAGUGCCAACAGCUUCACUCUGAUUGGGGAGGCAUCUGAUGGCGGCACCAUGGAGAACCUCAGCCGAAGACUGAAGGUCACUGGAGACCUUUUUGACAUCAUGUCGGGCCAGACAGAUGUGGAUCACCCACUCUGUGAGGAAUGCACAGAUACUCUUUUAGACCAGCUGGACACUCAGCUCAACGUCACUGAAAAUGAGUGUCAGAACUACAAACGCUGUUUGGAGAUCUUAGAGCAAAUGAAUGAGGAUGACAGUGAACAGCUACAGAUGGAGCUAAAGGAGCUAGCACUAGAGGAGGAGAGGCUGAUCCAGGAGCUGGAAGACGUGGAAAAGAACCGCAAGAUAGUGGCAGAAAAUCUCGAGAAGGUCCAGGCUGAGGCUGAGAGACUGGAUCAGGAGGAAGCCCAGUAUCAGAGAGAAUACAGUGAAUUUAAACGGCAACAGCUGGAGCUGGAUGAUGAGCUGAAGAGUGUGGAAAACCAGAUGCGUUAUGCACAGAUUCAGCUGGAUAAGCUGAAGAAAACCAAUGUCUUUAAUGCAACCUUCCACAUCUGGCACAGUGGACAGUUUGGCACAAUCAAUAACUUCAGGCUGGGUCGCCUGCCCAGUGUUCCCGUAGAAUGGAAUGAGAUUAAUGCUGCUUGGGGCCAGACUGUGUUGCUGCUCCAUGCUCUGGCCAAUAAGAUGGGUCUGAAAUUUCAGAGAUAUCGACUUGUUCCUUACGGAAACCAUUCAUAUCUGGAGUCUCUGACAGACAAAUCUAAGGAUGGAUGUGGAGAAAGGCAAGAUUGAAGACACAGGAGGCAGCGGCGGCUCCUAUUCCAUCAAAACCCAGUUUAACUCUGAGGAGCAGUGGACAAAAGCUCUCAAGUUCAUGCUGACGAAUCUUAAGUGGGGUCUUGCGUGGGUAUCCUCACAAUUUUAUAACAAAUGACUUUUUUCCUUAGGGGGAGGUUUGCCUUAAAGGCUUUUAAUUUUGUUUUGUUUGCAAACAUGUUUUAAAUUAAAUUCGGGUAAUAUUAAACAGUACAUGUUUACAAUACCAAAAAAAAAGAAAAAAUCCACAAAAGCCACUUUAUUUUAAAAUAUCAUAUGACAGAUAGUUUCCAGAGCUACAACAUGCCAGGUAUAGCUGCCAACCAUUGUCACAGUUUUGACUCUUAACCCCAUGGACUCCUUUCCCUUUCUUCUCUGAAAAAAACUAAUUUAAAUUUGCUUUUUUUUUUUUUAACUGAGUUGAAUUGAGAUUAAUGUGUUUUCACUGGAUUUGUAUCUCUCUCAACUUCCUGCACUUAACAGUAUGAAAUAGAAACUCGUCUUUACUGAGACGAGGAUAUGUUUGAGAUGCACAGUUGGAUAAUGUGGGAAAAUGACAUCUAAGCUUUACCUGGUCACCAUGUGAUGUGCAGAUGCUUGAAAUGUAACACUUCUCACUCGGUUCUCAUACUGAAUGCCGACUCUGCUCUGUGUUAGAGAUAUGAAAUGGUGUUUGAUACUGUUUGAGACAUUAUGGAGAGAUUUAAUUAUUUGUAAUAAAAGAUUUGCUGCAGUCUGAAAA